UCUUAUGGCACACGUGUCACACAUUCACCAUUCUCUCUCUCUCACGACCAAAUCAUCUUCUCUCCUCUCGCGACUCCGACUCCGACUCCGACUCCGACUCCAUCCGGUGAUCACUCCUCGACGGAAUCAAUCCGACUCCAUCCGGUGAUUGGUCUCGUUUAGAGCUUCGGGUUUCUCUAAGAACUUGAUUCUCAGAUCCUCGGCGUCGCGGUUUCACGGCGAGUCCCUCGAUUCCUCCGUCUCACCUGUUCUCAUUCCCGGCGUCCAUGUCUUCCGUUGCCAGGUUCCCAUAUCAAAAAAGUCUCGUCCUUUUUGCUCUCUUUGAUUUCCAAAUUCGAAAUCUCAAAACAGAAUCCCAUUGUUUUACAGGACGCAGUUGGAAUCGUAGCUUAGCUAUCAGAUUGUAUAUAUUCCUCCUUUUGAUGAAGACAAGUCUUGAGAGUGGAACUUGAUAUAAAAGUCAAAAGCUUUUGAUAGUGAAUCACAGAUUGCAAUAGAUUUGGUGAUGAAAAGAUGGUUUCUUUGACAGUGAGUUUAUAUUUGAUCCGGUGAAAUGGCUGAGACACCAAGUGGGUGAAGAUUUUCAAGCUAUUGCGCAAACAGACGGUGCCAUGAACUCGGUUGUGCGUGUGCCUUUAACUUUGAUCAAAUUUUAAUUUUUAAAAACUUUUUAAAUUUGUGAAAUGUUACAAUAUCUUUGAAUACGACAAUACAACAAUAUUUUACUAAUCUUUAUAUAUAUAGUUACGAUUUUAAUAAUGAAAUAAUAAUCUGAAAAUAUAUAUUUAGAAUAAGAUACAAAUACAUGUGAAAGUUUGAAACAAUCUAUUUAAUGAAAAAAUAUACCGUAAACUUAUUAUGUUUUAAAAAUUGAUAGACACAUAUAUAUUAUAAUAUAUAUCAAUUUAGAAUUGAAAAGAAAAUAUUUAUAUAAAAAUAAAUAAAAACAAAAAGUUACCUAAUUAAAUUAGCUAAGAAACGGGUCUUAUGGCACACGUGUCACACAUUCACCAUUCUCUCUCUCUCACGACCAAAUCAUCUUCUCUCCUCUCGCGACUCCGACUCCGACUCCGACUCCGACUCCAUCCGGUGAUCACUCCUCGACGGAAUCAAUCCGACUCCAUCCGGUGAUUGGUCUCGUUUAGAGCUUCGGGUUUCUCUAAGAACUUGAUUCUCAGAUCCUCGGCGUCGCGGUUUCACGGCGAGUCCCUCGAUUCCUCCGUCUCACCUGUUCUCAUUCCCGGCGUCCAUGUCUUCCGUUGCCAGGUUCCCAUAUCAAAAAAG
rnacentral:lncRNA from 1 species